rnacentral:rRNA from 1 species
CGCCGCGGVCAAUACGUAGGUGACAAGCGUUGUCCGGAUUAAUUGGGCGUAAAGCGAGCGCAGGCGGGUCCGGUAAGUCUGAUGUGAAAGCCCACGGCUCAACCGUGGAACGGCAUUGGAAACUGGCGGACUUGAAUGUAGCAGAGGAAAGUGGAAUUCCAUGUGUAGCGGUGGAAUGCGUAGAUAUAUGGAGGAACACCAGUGGCGAAAGCGACUUUGUGGGCUAUGAUUGACGCUGAGGCUCGAAAGCGUGGGGAGCGAACAGGAUUAGAUACCCUGGUAGUCCACGCCGUAAACGAUGAGUGCUAAGUGUUGGAGGGUUUCCGCCCUUCAGUGCUGGAGUUAACGCAUUAAGCGCUCCGCCUGGGGAUUACGAGGGCAAGGUUGAAACUCAAAAGAAUUGACGGGGACCCGCACAAGCGGCGGAGCAUGUGGUUUAAUUCGAAGCAACGCGAAGAACCUUACCAGCUCUUGACAUCUUCUGCCACCUUCAGAGAUGAAGGGUUCCUUCGGGGACAGAAUGACAGGUGGUGCAUGGUUGUCGUCAGCUCGUGUCGUGAGAUGUUGGGUUAAGUCCCGUAACGAGCGCAACCCUUAUUGUUAGUUGCCAGCAUUGAGUUGGGCACUCUAGCAAGACUGCCGGUGAUAAACCGGAGGAAGGCGGGGAUGACGUCAAAUCAUCAUGCCCCUUAUGAGCUGGGCUACACACGUGCUACAAUGGAUGGUACAACGAGUGGCGAGACCGUGAGGUUUAGCUAAUCUCCCAAAGCCAUUCUCAGUUCGGAUUGCAGGCUGCAACUCGCCUGCAUGAAGUCGGAAUCGCUAGUAAUCGCGGAUCCGAAUGCCGCGGUGAAUUCGUUCCCGGGUCUU